UAAUAAUAAUAAUGUCUAACUGGUAUCUGAGCAGGGCUGGGGCACUUAAUAAUAAUAAUAUUAUUAAGCCCCCCAGCCCUGCUCGGAUACCAGCUAGAUGAUAUUAUUAUUA